rnacentral:rRNA from 1 species
GGCGGCGUGCCUAAUACAUGCAAGUCGAACGAGAGCGAUCGGUGCUUGCACUGGUCAAUCUAGUGGCGAACGGGUGAGUAACACGUGGGUAACCUGCCCAUCAGAGGGGGAUAACAUUCGGAAACGAAUGCUAAAACCGCAUAGGUCUUCGAACCGCAUGGUUUGAAGAGGAAAAGAGGCGCAAGCUUCUACUGAUGGAUGGACCCGCGGUGCAUUAGCUAGUUGGUGAGGUAACGGCUCACCAAGGCCGUGAUGCAUAGCCGACCUGAGAGGGUGAUCGGCCACAUUGGGACUGAGACACGGCCCAAACUCCUACGGGAGGCAGCAGUAGGGAAUCUUCCGCAAUGGACGCAAGUCUGACGGAGCAACGCCGCGUGAGUGAAGAAGGUUUUCGGAUCGUAAAACUCUGUUGUUAGAGAAGAACAAGUGCUAGAGUAACUGUUAGCGCCUUGACG